ACUUAGCGUAAGCUAGGUAUCCUAAUUUAUUAGGAAGCGAACGAGGGGAAGUGAAACAUCUCAGUACCCUUAGGAAAAGACAUCAAUAGAGAUUCCCCUAGUAGCGGCGAGCGAACGGGGAGGAGCCGACGGAUUUAUAUGUAGAAGAACAGUGUGGGAAAGCUGGCCAUAGUGGGUGAUAGCCCCGUAUUCGAAACAUAUAAUGAAGCAUAUUAAGUAGUGCGGGACACGAGAAAUCCUGUAUGAAGAUGGGGGGACCAUCCUCCAAGGCUAAAUACUCCUGACUGACCGAUAGUGAACCAGUACCGUGAGGGAAAGGCGAAAAGAACCCCUGUGAGGGGAGUGAAAUAGAACCUGAAACCGUGUGCGUACAAGCAGUGGGAGCACCCUUGAGGUGUGACCGCGUACCUUUUGUAUAAUGGGUCAGCGACUUAUAUUCUGUAGCAAGGUUAACCGUUAGGGGAGCCGUAGGGAAACCGAGUCUUAAUAGGGCGCCAUAGUUGCAGGGUAUAGACCCGAAACCGAGUGAUCUAUCCAUGAGCAGGUUGAAAGUGCCGUAACAGGCACCGGAGGACCGAACCCACUGUCGUUGAAAAGCCAGGGGAUGACUUGUGGAUAGGGGUGAAAGGCUAAUCAAACUCGGUGAUAGCUGGUUCUCCCCGAAAGCUAUUUAGGUAGCGCCUCGGACGAAUACCAUUGGGGGUAGAGCACUGUUUCGGCUAGGGGGUCAUACCGACUUACCAAACCGAUGCAAACUCCGAAUACCGAUGAGUAAUAUCCGGGAGACACACGGCGGGUGCUAACGUCCGUCGUGGAGAGGGAAACAACCCAGACCGCCAGCUAAGGCCCCAAAUUCCUAGUUAAGUGGGAAACGAAGUGGGAAGGCAUAGACAGCUAGGAGGUUGGCUUAGAAGCAGCCAUCCUUUAAAGAAAGCGUAAUAGCUCACUAGUCGAGUCGGCCCGCGCGGAAGAUGUAACGGGGCUCAAACUAGGAGCCGAAGCUGCGGAUUUGAAAAUUGUUUCAAGUGGUAGGGGAGCGUUGUGUAAGCCUGUGAAGGUGUAUCGUAAGGUAUGCUGGAGGUAUCACAAGAGCGAAUGCUGACGUGAGUAACGAUAAUGCGAGUGAAAAGCUCGCACGCCGGAAGAUCAAGGGUUCCAGUCCAACGUUAAUCGGGGCUGGGUGAGUCGACCCCUAAGGCGAGGCCGAAAGGCGUAGUCGAUGGGAAAUCGGUUAAUAUUCCGAUACUUGUUUAUGAUGUGAUGGAGGGACGGAGAAGGUUAUGCCAGCCUGGCGAUGGUUGUCCAGGUGGAAGGAUGUAGGUAGACGGCUUAGGCAAAUCCGGGCUGUUAAUACUGAGAUCUGAUAGCAAGCUGUACUUGUACAGCGAAGUGGCAAAUACCAUGCUCCAGGAAAAGCUUCUAAACUAUAGUCAUAAACGAAUCGUACCCUAAACCGACACAGGUGAUCAGGUAGAGAAUACCAAGGCGCUUGAGAGAACUCUGCUGAAGGAACUAGGCAAAAUGGUACCGUAACUUCGGGAGAAGGUACGCUGUGGAUGGUGAAACCCUUGCGGUGUAAGCUAUUGACAGUCGCAGAUACCAGGCUGCUGCAACUGUUUAUUAAAAACACAGCACUCUGCAAACACGAAAGUGGACGUAUAGGGUGUGAUGCCUGCCCGGUGCUGGAAGGUUAAUUGAUGGGCUUAGCGUAUGCGAAGGUCUUGAUCGAAGCCCCAGUAAACGGCGGCCGUAACUAUAACGGUCCUAAGGUAGCGAAAUUCCUUGUCGGGUAAGUUCCGACCUGCACGAAUGGCAUAAUGAUGGCAGCGCUGUCUCCAGCAGAGACUCAGUGAAAUCGAAAUCGCAGUGAAGAUGCUGUGUACCCGCGGCUAGACGGAAAGACCCCGUGAACCUUUACUACAGCUUUACAUUGAACUUUGACCUGACUUGUGCAGGAUAGGUGGGAGGCUUUGAAGCAGAUACGCCAGUAUCUGUGGAGCCAUCCUUGAAAUACCACCCUGGUCAUGUUGGGGUUCUAACUCAGGUAUA
rnacentral:rRNA from 1 species